rnacentral:rRNA from 1 species
GGAGUCUAGCACGUGCGCGAGUCAUUGGGACUAGCGAAACCUAAAGGCGAAAUGAAAGUGAAGGUCGGCCUAGCGCCGACCGAGGGAGGAUGGGCCGCGCCACGUCGCGGCCCCGCACUCCCGGGGCGUCUCGCUCUCAUCGCGAGAAGAGGCGCACCCAGAGCGUACGCGCUGGGACCCGAAAGAUGGUGAACUAUGCCUGGUCAGGACGAAGUCAGGGGAAACCCUGAUGGAGGUCCGAAGCGAUUCUGACGUGCAAAUCGAUCGUCGGAACUGGGUAUAGGGGCGAAAGACUAAUCGAACCAUCUAGUAGCUGGUUCCCUCCGAAGUUUCCCUCAGGAUAGCUGGCGCUCGUUUUUGCGAGUCUCAUCUGGUAAAGCGAAUGAUUAGAGGCAUUGGGGUCGAAACGGCCUCAACCUAUUCUCAAACUUUAAAUGGGUGAGAUCUCCGGCUUGCUCGAGUGCGCUGAAGCCGCGAGAUCGGAUCAGAGUGCCAAGUGGGCCAUUUUUGGUAAGCAGAACUGGCGCUGUGGGAUGAACCAAACGCAGAGUUAAAGCCCCAAAAUCGACGCUUAUGGGACACCAUGAAAGGCGUUGGUAACUUAAGACAGCAGGACGGUGGCCAUGGAA